ACUGAAUGUUUGGUUUUAAUUUGAAUGUUUUUUCAUUUUCAGGAACAAUGAGUAGGUCGAGUAGGACACUUUAUGUUGGAAAUCUUCCGGGCGAUAUUCGUGAGCGUGAAGUUGAUGAUCUGUUUUACAAGUAUGGCCCAAUAGCACAUAUUGAGCUGAAAAUUCCACCAAGACCUCCUGGUUAUGCUUUUGUUGAGUUUGAAGAGGCUCGCGAUGCUGAAGAUGCUAUUCGUGGUCGUGAUGGCUAUGAUUUUGAUGGGCACCGUCUACGGGUUGAGCUUGCACAUGGCGGGCGUGGUAACUCGUCAGCAAGCGAUCGUUAUGGUGGUGGCGGUCGUGGUCAGCGUGGUGGUGGAGUGUCCAGGCGUUCUGAUUAUCGAGUUUUAGUUACUGGAUUACCCCAUUCAGCAUCGUGGCAGGAUCUAAAGGAUCACAUGCGUCGAGCUGGGGAUGUUUGUUUCUCCCAAGUUUUCCGUGACGGGAGUGGCACCACUGGUAUUAUCGAUUAUACAAACUACGAUGACAUGAAAUAUGCUAUCAAGAAGCUUGAUGACUCUGAGUUCCGGAAUGCCUUUUCUCGUUCGACAAUUCGAGUUAAGCAAUAUGACCGCAGUCGAAGCCGCAGUCGCAGCCGUUCUUACUCCAGAGGAAAGAGUGUUAGUCGAAGCCGUAGCCGAAGUAGAAGUCGUAGCAGGAGCAAAAGCAAAUCUCCUAAAGGUAAAUCUUCAAAGCGCUCAAGAUCUCGUUCAAGGUCUGUGUCUUCUCCGUCUCGUUCUGGGUCAAAAGGACGUUCUGUCUCAAGAUUUUGGAUAUAUGCGGCGGUUUGUGGAUUGCAUAUUAGGAUCUUGAGUGGAUAAUGGUCUUGCCUGCAACUCUUUUGGUUGUGGAGGUAUGAUGUUUUCUAGAUGGCAGCUUUGGGUCUUUUAUGAUGUCUCUAUUCUAAUGAGCAUCGUGAAAUGUUCCAUGGGUGCUAGAUUGGGAUCAUGAAGAUCAUGGAUUCUAUGGUGGAGCUGCACUGGGAAACUAACUGCCACCACCUGAAUUUGGAUCACCACCUAUUUGUGGUAGAAGGAUUUUCUACCUAAGCGAAUAAAGACACUAGUUCAUUCUUUUGGUAUCCAUCUAAUUGGCUCCUUGACUGCACAAUUUAAACUAUUACUUAGUCUUAGCUAUGUAACUUGCAUUGCUUCAUACAUGUGCUACUUUGAUUAUGAUCAUGGUGGUGUGGAAGUGGAAUCAAGGCAGUUGGAGGAAACUGGUUAAGUGGCAGGACUGGGAUAUUAAAUUAAGUUAUUUCUGGAAAUUUUGCAGAUCUCCAUCAAGGUCCAGAUCGCCAGCACCAUCUCGCUCAAAACAUUUGAGUAAAAGCCCAAAAAGACGCACUCCCAGCAGAAGCCCAAGCCGGAGCAGGAGCCGGAGCCGGAGCCGGAGCAGGAGUUUGUCCAGGUAAAGAUUGUUGGAGUCUUCUGUGAUUGAGGGUGCCAUCAUGCUGUGUUGGAGCAGCACGGUCCACAGUUGGGAGUCUAAGGGCCUGGAAGAAUCUGUUUCUCUGCUUACAUUAAAAGAUUUCUGUGUUAUUGAAUCAUGUCAAGACUAAUAAUUAUUGUACUUAAUUUUGUAUCUCUUAAGACUUGGUAAAGACUGCAAUAGUAGAUUUUAUGCCUUUCUAGUUGCGCGAUGGCGAGAGGGGAUUAUUUUCCUUGAUUUGCAGAUUGUUAUUGCUCGUUUACUGGUGACGAUGGUAUUCAUUUAGACAACGCUGCUUAAUUAUUUAUCAUUUUAUAGGUGUCA